rnacentral:misc_RNA from 1 species
GCCAUUCCCUGCAGCACUCUCUCUCGCGAAGUCUCAAGUCUCAUACAUACGAAGGAGGCACAGCCACCACCGCGCCACCUCUCGUCCAUCCCCACCUCCUCCACAAAUAUGCCACUUUCUUUCACUCUCCUCUGUAAACCCUAAUUCUUGAUUCCUCUUUUUCUCUCUCUAAAUUCCUCUCUCUACACUUCUCGAUUCUCUCGCCUAUCGAUCCACUUUGAUCACUCUUCCCAAACGCUCACUUUCUUUCUUUAGCCCUUAGCCCUCUCUCAUUCUCUCUCUGAAAUUCGUAGCCUAUUCGCUCUUGAUUACAAGAUCUGUCUCGAUUGUUUUCUUGCUUGCUUCUUCUUUUAAUCGCCGUAUUUUAGGGUUUCGGAAUAUCUUUCUUGGAGGUCCGGUCAAGGCUGGCGGGUAUCCGGGUCAAGUAAAUGGCGGAUCCGCCAAGUAUCCGCCCACUGUUAAUUGGUACGUUUUCUUGUCUCUGUUUCGAGGAGUUGGAGUUGAUAGGGUUACAUAGUGGUGAGGAAAUAGAAAAGUGAAAAAGCAUGCUGAGCGUGGUACGUGUGCACCUCCCCUCGGAUAUCCCCAUAGUAGGCUGUGAGUUAACGCCGUACGUCCUCUUACGGCGACCUGACAAGACCGUCACAACCGACGAUGUCCCUGAGUCUGCCCCUCUCGACGGUCAUUUCUUGAGAUACAAGUGGUAUCGGAUACAAAGUGAUAGAAAAGUUGCUGUAUGUAGUGUACAUCCAUCUGAGCUAGCCACAUUGCAGUGCCUAGGUUGUGUUAAGUCCAAAAUACCUGUUGCCAAAAGUUACCAUUGCUCUCCCAAGUGCUUCUCUGAUGCAUGGCAGCAUCACCGUGUUUUACAUGACCGUGCUGCGAGUGCUAUAAAUGAAAACGGAAAUGAGGAGGAAGAGUUAUUUGGGCGUUUCAAUAGCUCUGGAUCUGGAGUUAUUAAUACUAGCUUGUCUGGUCCUGCAUCAAGUGCUAGCUUGACGAAUGGUUCUGCACCUCUAUAUCCUGCAGCAGUUACACAAAGGAGUGGUGGUGAAACUUGGUUUGAAGUUGGGCAUUCUAAAACAUAUACUCCAUCAGCUGAUGAUAUUGGCCAUGUUCUAAAGUUUGAAUGCGUUGUAGUAGAUGCUGAAACUAAAUUACCUGUAGGACAUGUCAACACCAUUCUAACCUCCCGUGUGAUUCCUGCUCCUUCACCUACUCCACGUCGCUUGAUCCCAGUCAGCGGAGUUGAUGUGAUCAGGCAUUUAGAUUCAGAUGGCCGUAUUUCAUCCUCAGGAACUUUUACUGUGCUUUCAUACAACAUUUUGUCUGAUGUUUAUGCAACAAGUGAGACGUACAGCUAUUGUCCUUCUUGGGCUCUAUCUUGGCCAUAUCGCCGGCAGAAUUUGCUUCGGGAAAUUGUUGGAUAUCGUGCGGACAUUGUUUGUCUUCAGGAGGUGCAGAGCGAUCAUUAUGAGGAGUUUUUUGCCCCUGAGUUGGACAAACAUGGUUAUCAAGCUCUUUAUAAGAGAAAAACAAACGAGGUUUACGGUGGAAAUACCCAUACUAUUGAUGGUUGUGCAACAUUUUUUCGCAGAGAUAGGUUUUCACAUGUCAAAAAAUAUGAGGUUGAGUUUAAUAAAGCUGCUCAGUCCUUGACUGAAGCUGUUGUUCCAAGUGCUCAGAGAAAAACUGCUUUAAAUCGUUUGGUCAAGGAUAAUGUUGCAUUAAUUGUGGUUUUGGAAGCAAAAUUCAGUAAUCAAGGAGCUGAUAAUGUUGGAAAACGGCAGCUUCUUUGUGUUGUGAGUAAUUAUGUUCUAAAUAAUCUGCUAGAAUGUUUGCCGUUAUUAUAUUGAAAUUGCCUUUGUGUGUCUUAUUGUCCAUUUCAUCUCAGAUUAACUAGAAUACUAAUUCUCCACUUCCAUGAGGGAGUUGCUGUUCUGGUGAUAGACUUUUGGAGUUACUUCUUCCAAGAACAUUGGCUUGAAACAAAGAACCAUUGGGCCAAUGGCCAUAUUAACGAUGACUUGUUUUUCUGAGAAGAAUGUGUGCUGAUAAUGUAUUUGAGAUGCAAUUUUUUGUGGUCUGAUGGGAGCUGAACUACUUUUAACGUUGCUUCUCCAUUCUCCAUUAUUUGACAAAAUUGUUACCUUAUAGUAAAGGGUGUGGCUUCUGUAAUAAUUUGUUGAUAAGGUGUCUAUUUGAGGAUGCUCAUGCUGUGGGUUAUUUGAGGUUUCUUCUAGUCUUGUCUCUUAAAUGCUUUGUUCUUUCAUUUCAAGACAGAUUGUGAUUUGUGUGUGUUUGUGUGCAUGCAUGCUCCUUUUUCCUUGUAUUUUUCUCUUAAUAACUUCUAAGUGCAAGAAAUAUGAUUCUUAAUUGCCAUGCAUGGGUAUUAUUCUAAUAAUCUUUUGACCUUGUUUUUACUUGUUUUCAAUUACAGGCAAACACACACGUGAACGUGCAUCAUGAUUUAAAGGAUGUCAAGCUUUGGCAGGUUCUCACCCUUUUGAAAGGAUUGGAGAAAAUAGCUGCCAGUGCAGACAUUCCAAUGUUAGUGUGUGGAGAUUUCAAUUCCAUCCCUGGAAGUGCUCCUCAUGCUCUUCUUGCUAUGGGAAAGGUAGAUCCAUUGCAUCCAGAUUUAUUGGUAGAUCCUCUUGGAAUCUUACGUCCUCACAGCAAGCUUACACAUCAACUACCUCUGGUCAGUGCUUAUUCAUCUUUUGUAAGACUGGGCGUUGGUCUUGGUUUGGAACAGCAACGGAGGAGAAUGGACCCUGCAACAAAUGAACCAUUGUUUACAAACUGCACUAGAGAUUUUAUUGGCACCCUAGAUUACGUAUUUUACACAGGUGAUGUCUUUCAGACAUUUUUUUUGCAUCUUGUUUUGCCCAGAGUUAGGUUUGGUAUCAAUGUCCAUGUCAUGGUUGUCCAAUUCAAAUUUACUUGUAAAAUGUUGAUAGUUAAGAAAUUAAAUCUUUUGUUGUGCUUUCAGCGGACACUUUGACAGUGGAGUCCUUGUUGGAACUCUUGGAUGAGGAAAGCUUAAGGAAAGACACAGCCCUACCUUCUCCAGAGUGGUCCUCUGAUCAUAUAGCACUUUUAGCUGAAUUUCGUUGCAAGUCUAGACCGAGACGUUGACAAUCCGGGGUCUAAUGAUGGUCAAGAAGAUGACAGAGAGAAAUCCAAGGAAUCAAGUAAAUUGCAAGAAUGGUAGAUCAUGGUCCAUGUGUCAUUUUACAGGUAUCUCUAUAGUGGGGAUCGUCUCUAUGAUCUGCUUUGUAUCAUGCCACCAUUGUCUCAUAGAAAAAGAUAUGCCAUAUUCAAUGGUUUUUUCAUUUUCUUUGCUGAUAGAAAUGCCCACGGGCUUAGUGUAUGUCAUUAUCCUGUACUUUUAAGCUCCCCUGCAUAGCUAGUGGUUAGUGGCAAUGCCUCUUAGUUUUGAGUUCAAUCAUCCUUUGUUCACUGUUCUUUUCUCAUUUUCUGGCCGCUGGAAAGGAAUAAAAAAAAUCUUAAAAGUUUU